AUCUCUAGAAUAAUGAAUGAAUCCAAUCCAUUAUAAAUUGUAUUAAAUAUGCCAAAUAAGAUCAGCAUUUGUUUCUUAACAUGGAAACAAUGACCACGGAUGCUCCUGUAUAGCAGAUGAUGUGAACCAAAGCGUGGUCGCCAUGGGAAAUCCGAUGGCGCCAUAAUUAUGAUUCUUCACUUUAAAUGAAGACACCCCAAUGGUACUGAGUUUUGUUGACUACCGUCGCUUUGGUAGAUGGGAAGUUAAGGACACUUGGGGUCUUGACCGAGGACCAGACCCAAUGUGGGAAUACCAGAGCUUCAGAGAAAAUGUCAUGACUCAUCUCAACCUUGCUGCCUUCAAUAAACCUAUAUGUGAAGCAAUGCUGAAUCAAAAAUAUUUUAAUGGUAUUGGAAACUACUUAAGAGCUGAGAUUCUUUACAGACAAGUCAGUCCGGAAAGGGGACGUGAUUGCUGCCCGUAUCAUCAUUGGG